UCUGGGCGCGCGAGUGCUCAGUCCGCGCUCUCCAUUUGCUGUCACAGCCCGUCCCUUCCCGGAGCCCCGGUCACAGUGGGCGCGCGCCCGUGUGUGUGAACGGGACUCAGGGCAGAGGCGUCCCCUCGCUGCCUUUUUUUUUCUUCCUUUCUGCAAAGAAGGGGGCAGCUCGCACGCUUGUCUUCCUGUCGCCCUGUGGCGAGUGGGGUUGGUGUGCGGAGCGGUUCGUCUUUUUUCUUUUAAACUUGCGAGCGCUUUUUUCUUUUUCUUUUUUUUUUUUUCAGGCUCAGUGCCGUCUGAGCUAGUUUCCUCCGUCCCUGACUACUGCUUUCUGUCCCUUCUCCUGCUCCCCCCGCCCAAGGUCGCCCCUCCGCCCUCGCCCCUGGCCCGGGAGGGUGGGAAGCUUUGUCCCGCUCCCUGCCCAUCCGCGUCUCCGCAGCCGCACCUGCCUCAAUAUGAAUGGGGUCAACGACCCACUUCUUUUUAUAAAAGAUAUUAAGCCCGGACUGAAAAACUUAAAUGUCGUCUUUAUUGUCCUGGAGAUAGGACGCGUGACCAAAACCAAAGACGGCCAUGAAGUGAGAUCAUGCAAAGUAGCAGAUAAAACGGGCAGCAUCACUAUUUCCGUGUGGGAUGAAAUCGGAGGUCUUAUACAGCCAGGGGAUAUUAUUCGGUUGACCAGAGGGUAUGCAUCCAUGUGGAAAGGAUGUCUGACACUUUAUACUGGGAGGGGUGGUGAGCUUCAAAAAAUUGGGGAAUUUUGUAUGGUUUAUUCAGAAGUGCCAAAUUUCAGUGAACCCAACCCAGAUUAUCGAGGACAACAGAGCAAAGGGGCACACAGUGAACAGAAGAAUAAUUCCAUGAAUAAUAAUGUGGGUACAGGUACCUUUGGACCAGUAGGAAACGGGGUUCACACUGGCCCAGAAUCAAGGGGAUGCCAGUUCUCAUAUGCUGGUAGAAGCAAUGGCCGAGGACCUGUAAAUCCACAGCUACCAGGAACAGCUAAUAAUCAAACAGUCAUGACCACAAUAAGUAAUGGCAGGGACCCUCGGAGAGCCUUUAAAAGAUGACCUAUGCCAAAUAGUCACAUGUAGUUUUUAAACUACGUGCCCUACUUGAACACAUAUUGCACUUUUAUUUAUUGUUAACUGUGAAAACUAUGUCCUUAUUGGUUUUCCUUUACGUUUUUGGUUUGUUAAUCAGAGUGGGUUUUUUUAAUAGCAGAACUGUUAGGCUGCUCAAGUCUCCUAUUGAAGAAUGGGAGCACACUGAAAAGUAGGGGCAUUUGUUUUUAGAGCAAAAAGAUCUUUGGAUAUCCUCUAAAAUAUCUGCACCCAUUUCAUGGGUGAGUUACUUUAAGACAUCAGCAUUAUAGCCUCUAUGAGUCUAUCUUCUGUAUACAUUUUGUAAUAUUUAAAAUAAGGCUUAGUGGGAGUUGUUCUGUUGUGUUAAAUUCAGAUAUUGCCAACUAAAGCAAUAACCACCAAAAAAAUGAAAACUCACUCAAGGUUAAUAGCAAUUUUUGAGUGUUUGUGACUCCAGGAAAGAUUGACUUUUUCAUUGAGUGACUGCCAUUAAUAUUUUCCAAGGACUGAAUCAUCCUCAAUUCUUGUUUUAUUACCAAAAAACGUGUUCUUUAUCAGAAUUAUGAAAAGAAAGUGCUCUGUAUUAUAAUGAGUAAUUUUUUAAAAACUAUAUUUAUUUUAGGGUAGUCCUAUUAAUAUUUGUUGUCACUUUGUGCAUUACCCUGAGGGAAAGUUUAAAAAGGAGGCCUUGAAUAUUUAUUUUUGGAAGUACCAUGUCAAAUAUUAAAGUAUAAUUAGAGGGAAUUUUAAAGUCAUAAUAAACAUUGAUUUAAUUAUUUUUAAAAAUUGUAGAUAAACAUUAUAGUGAAGGCAAUUCAAAUUGAAUUCAUGUAGAAAUAUGCAGUCUUAAGUUAUAGGGUCCUAGAUACUUGCAGAAACUCAGCCUGGAGUGAAAAUCCUAGGCACUUAAACUUUAUUUGAGGUGCGUGUGUGUGCAUGUAGAUUGUCAGAUUUCUGAACACAAUUCACAAAGCCUUAUCUGCAAAAGUUAAGAAAUGGCUCUCUCAAAGAAGCGAAUACAGCUUUAUUCAGAAAUGUAAACGUAGAAUUUAUUUAUGUGUUGUAAAUGGUCCCCAGUUCCACUUUUUACUGUAGGGUGGAUAACUGGUGAAGUUUUCCUCUGUUAGAAUUCAACUCUUCUUCAUAUUAUCUCUUGAAUAAAAUUGCAUUCGUGUUAACCGACCUACCUUAUUUUUGCUCUUUCAGUGAUUCACAGUGGAGAGCCAGGACAUUUGCCUGUAGUUGUCAUGACGACUUCAGCCUGGCGACUACUUAGCUGUAUUUGUCGCUUUGUCUUUUUUCCUCACCUUAAAUCACAAAAUAAUUUAAGUAGACUCUGUUUUCUGAAAACUGCAUAGCAUUUGAAUAUAAAAAUUUGUGCCAGAUUAUUUAUCUGCUUUAAUUCAGUGUAUCUAACAAGAUUUCAGUAUAUGCUGCGUAUUAGGCACCGUGUGCAGAGUGUUAAGGGGCAGACGAGAUAAUGAAUAAUCUUAAGGAGCGAUAAUGAAUAAUCUUUAGGAGCUUGUUUAUGCCUUAUAGUACUUUGGUAAUGGAGUUUAUGUAUUCUAGAAAGAAGUUUUCUCUUUAUUCAUACACUGAUGAUUAUGAUUAAUUUGACCUUGUGACUAAUAGUUUCUUAAGAUGUUCACAAAAUUACAGAUAUUUGGAGUAAAAAGAAAUGCUACAAAUUAGUUUAUAAUUUUUUAUUUUAAAUUUAAGUAGAGAUUGGAGCAGUAACACUAAGUUAUUUGUGAGAAUAUAACGUUAAAAGUGAUUUUGAAAGAAAGAAUUUUGGAGUUUUUGAAAACCAAAAUGUGGGGCAUGGGUUGCUGAACUUCCAAUCCUGGCCUCAUUAUCUCACCUGUGGUGCUGGGCAAGUCAUUACAUUGAAACCUCCGUAAACCUUAGGUCUCAGAACUAUGAAAAACAAGUAAGUAACAGUACCCGUUUGUGGAAUUAUUGAAGAUUUUCCAUGUAAGUGAUUUCUGGCACAUAAGCAGUCAGAUGUUUGUUGUCUAAUCAUAGCUCAGUAGUAGAAGAAAAUGCAGGUCAGGUGUGGAGGUAUUGUUACCUUUAACAUCUUGUGAUAAAUAAGGAAAGACCUAAGCGUUUACUUUUGUAAUGGACACUUGCCUCAGUAAUUUAACUUCGUUGUUCUGUAUUCUUUAUCAUUUGUUAACAGAUGUCUUUUUUCUUAAGGGAAGCCUCCAAAACCAAAGCAAAGUGGGUUACAGUCCAUAAUGAGUAUUUGCCUUCGCAGUCUCCUGGAACCGUUCUCAUCAAGAAGCUGAGAGGAAGAAAGCUUCCUACCUUCCUCCUUCCUGGCUUUCAGCUGUCAACUUGUAAAUAAGUUUAACCACCUCCCGAAAACCAAAACCAUUUAGUGUAGAAACACACACUACUAAGAUUGGGUCCCAUUUCAUUUCUGCACAACAGUCCUGAAGUGGAUUGAAGUCUCCUCAGCCGGCUGGCCCCUCCUGUCUGCGCGGGGUCUUGGGGACCUGCCGCGGUACAGAAAGGGGGUGAUGAAACCUGUAAGGCCGGGUGACGACGUGUCCCAGUGAAGGCUGCAGUGUGCGGCCCCGUUGAGACGGCUUUUCCUGUAGUAGUCCGACUUUUUUGCUUUGUUACUGUAGUUUUAGUAAUUCUCUUUUAAAUUUGAGGACAAGUUAACAUGAGGAGACCCUGAAUAUUUGUAGUUCUGGGUAUUUGUCACUUGUAUUUUUAUCACUCAACAUUUUAAAAGAAUGUUUAACUUGCUGGGUUGAGUAAUAAUGCCAAGGGAGUGAUGCCAGAAACAAAUAGAUAUGAGGCUACUAAAAAGUUAUAAUUUAUGAUAGGAGAACAUUUAAAGUAUAGGAGGCUGGUUAACUGGCCCUAAAACAGUUUUCUCAGAAGGUACAAAUUGAAAAAGUUUUACGUCAGUUUGAAGACACUGGGGCAGUUGUUACUUUAUGUAGAUCUGACAUUCCAGUUUGCUCACUGAAAUGACUUCCCUUCUCUGUUACUCAAGGUAAUGACUGUUUGCUGCCUUAAGAUCCUUUUCUCUGAUGUAUUUGGAAAGAUUCUAGAGACAGCAAGCUGGAAAACCAUGAGAAAGCAGAGUCAACAUGGAACACUUUCCCAAACUUAAGUCUCUUAUCUCUAGUCUUGGAAUUAUUUACCCUAUGGUGGCUUUUAUUUUUAUUAAUCUCUGUUUCCUUCACUUGUUUCUUCCCCUAUCUGAUGAAACCCUGAAUGUUUCUAGUAAAAAAAGAGGGUCACAGUCAAUUGUUUAGUAUGGGUUAUAUGACAAGGGUAAAGGCAGAUAUACUUGGCCAUGGGGAAAACCUGUGUAUUGAGGUUCCAGCCAAUGAUUAAAUAUUGGGGUAAUUAAACAGUCUCACAUUUCAUAAAGUAGCUGUAAUGAUUAACAGCUAAGGUAUGCUUCUGAGGAAAUCUAAUUGUGACCUUUGGAAAAUAGCACUAUUGUGAAUGGUAUGUUGUUAGGCCCUGAGGGAGGGGCUAGAAAAACAUUUUACUUCCUAGGUAUAUUCAACUUUUCUCCAAAUUUCUUGAAGUUUGCUUUGUUAGGGAUGCACCAGAGUUUGUGUUCAAAUACUGUAACCAAAUUGCUCCAGGUUUCCAAGCUAAAAGGGUCUAAUGAGGUUUCUCAAAGCACAGAUCACAGACGAAGGAACAGACUAGAGAUAAGUCUGGACUAUAUGAUAAGCCAUUUGUUUAGCAUUUUUCCUCAUUAAAAACAUGAGACCCAAAGAUGUUACUUAGGACUGUUUACCACUAUAAGGUAACCAGUGUGAUGUAAAGAAAGUGAACGUUUUAACGCGUUUGACAUGGACUUUUUAUUUAAGCCUUUUGAAAAGCCUUGAUAGGUAACCCACAAUUUUAUUGUGGCUCCUCAAGUUUUAGGAACUUGUCGACCCAAGGCGUGGUGACUCAGCUGUUGAACAACAGUAGAGCCCAGAUCUCUGAAGACUCUGUUGACACCCCACAGUCCUCACCGUCACAUCGUGCUUACGUCUAACUUAACCUCAACUCAAGAACUAUUGACGUGUCUUUAAAAACCAGUUCUGUAUGUAACCAUUUCCAACCAGAAACUCAAGUAAAUUUUUCUAUUUUACUCAAAAUUUAUGCUUCUAGAUAUAGAAUAGACAGUCCAGUUUCCUAGUCCAUGUAUUGAAUAAAACUCUCAAAGAAUACUUUAUAAACCACCUAUAUGAGAUUCUCCACAGGAACUUGUUAGAACAAGUACAGGUUGCAUCUGCUCUACCAAAUGGAGAAUUUAUAAGUGUAGGUCUGGGAGAGCUGCUCUUGAAACAAAGACUGAAGAUUUUUUGUCUCCUGUGCUUGACAUCUCCCCCUGACACAGGAAUAACUUUCCUUUGAAACCAAGUUUCAAGAUAUAUAUAUCUUCAUGUAUCUUCAGUUCCUUUUAUCUUUGUGAGGCUCGAAUAGACCAAAGUUCUGGACUGUAACACAUGGAGAAAUUGUACUUAGAAGCAUAUGGCUCCAAAUGGCAGAACUGAUGGGUAAAGCAGGGUAGUUCAAGCAGAAGAGGUUGCUUAUGGCCUCUGGAUGUGAGCACUGAGUUCUGAAUUAGUUUUAAAUAGAAUUACUCAAAUUAUAUCGAUGUUAAGAUCAGAUUGUGUAUAGUGGAGUCACCGAGCUCCAUCUGGGCCUAGGUAGAUCAAAGAAAAGAUAAGCUUUUUCACCCUAGGUUUCUGUUAAAACUUUUUAAAAUAGAUUUUAUUGUUUAUCUGAGCAAAUGUAUGUUUGCAGCAUCUUCUGUCUUCCUCCUAUUCCCCAGGUGUUCCUCCAUUCUCUAUUAUGUGGAGAUAAGCUGGCCAAAUUGAAAAGUAGUGCGGUUGGAAGCCUGGUAAACAUUCCUAAGAAUGCCUGAGGAACCUGCCACUUACAGAUCUCAGUCUCAUUCUGCACAGAGGGGCAGGCAGGCUUUUACAGUCUUCUCUGGGCACAGAAGAAGGGCCAGGGCGUGGUUCUGAAAGUGCAGAGGAAGGAGGACUCGUGGGCCAGGAUUUGUGCCAGGAGGAGGUCCACGGCCGAGGGGAAGGCGUCCUGUAGUCCCGGGGACAGCCGUCAUGAUCGCUGUGCACCCAGAGUGCAGAGGAGUUUGUUUGCUUCUGAUAAAGCAUUGGGCAACUUCCCAACAUUUUAUUAUGAAAAAUUUUGAACAUACGGCCAUGUCGACCAAAUUUUAGUGUAAACACCUGUGUGCUAGAUUUUACCAUUAACGUCUGACUCUCUGUCACAUCCAUCUAUCUGUUCCAUUCAGUCAUCUUUUUAAUACAUGUAAUGUAAACUGGAAACAGUGCAGGAAAUAUGUCUCUAUUUCAGCAUGCUUAUUCAAUAUUUUACAGUUUUUAGUGUAAAAUUUACAAAGAAAUGCCCAAAUCUUAGGUGUACAUUUGCGAGUUUUAAUGAAUGCCUAUGCCUAUGUAACUCAAAAAAAAAAAAACCUCUGUCAAGGUUGCCAUCAGUCCAGAAACUUCCUCAUAUGCCUUCCCAAGUCAGUCCCUGUCCCCUGGACUCAGUGGCAGUGACUCUUCAGAUAUGUUAAAAGCAUUCUUAGCUUAACUAAAGGGAAAAGUUUCAUAUGUGCCAAGGGCAGCUCUAGAUUGCCUCACGGAGUUACGUGACUCCAACUCCAACCGUGCCCGAGUACCGCCAAACCCAGUCCCCCCACACGUCUCAGAAACACAACCCCAAGACCGUGGUAUUUUUUUUCUGUCUCCUUGUUUCAAUUUAGCCUCAGCUCUGUCCUUAAAAUCUAUUUUUUCCCCUCAAGAUUUACACCUGACCUGCAAGACUCUUGGGGCAGAAACUGCUGGGAUGAAGACCAGGCAAAGUCUUCUAAAAUCUUUUGGAAGAAUCGAUGAAAAACUUUUUUGAAGAAGAAGAAGAUUUGCCCUCCGCUGACAUCUGCUGCCAGUCCUCCUCUUUUUGCUGAGGAAGACUGGCCCUGAGCUAACAUCUGUGCCCAUCUUCCUCUACUUUAUAUGUGGGA